rnacentral:rRNA from 1 species
GACGAACGCUGGCGGCGCGCUUAACACAUGCAAGUCGAACGGAAAGGCCUGCUUUCCCUUGUGGAUUGCGGGUACUCGAGUGGCGAACGGGUGAGUAACACGUGAGUGAUCUGCCCCCAACUUGGGUAUAAGCCUGGGAAACUGGGUCUAAUUCCCGAUAGGACUGCAGGGUGGUGCCUGUGGUGGAAAACGAUUUUCUAGUGGUUGGGGAUGAGCUCGCGGCCUAUCAGCUUGUUGGUGGGGUAAUGGCCUACCAAGGCGGCGACGGGUAGCCGGCCUGGGGGGGUGGACGGCCACAUUGGGACUGAGAUACGGGCCAGACUCCUACGGGAGGCAGCAGUGGGGAAUAUUGCACAAUGGGCGGAAGCCUGAUGCAGCGACGCCGCGUGGGGGAUGACGGCCUUCGGGUUGUAAACUCCUUUCGACCGCGAGGAAGCCACCUGGUUGGAAGGGUGGUGACGGUAGUGGUAGAAGAAGCACCGGCUAACUACGU